UUAAGGCGGCCAGAGCGGUGAGGUUCCACCCGUACCCAUCCCGAACACGGCAGUUAAGCUCACCUGCGUUCUGGUCAGUACUGGAGUGAGCGAUCCUCUGGGAAAUCCAGUUCGCCGCCCCCA
rnacentral:rRNA from 1 species